rnacentral:lncRNA from 1 species
AUUAGCUGUUGUAUGCCUUGGAUACAUAGGAGUAUCCAUAGCUAGUAGUAUAGCAUGUGUUUUGAACACUUCAUAGGAUGUUUGCCAAGGAGUGCUGUUUCUCUAGUUAACUCUUGCACUCAGUGUUAUCAGGUCCUGCACAUACAUAUCCUACCUUACACAUCUGAGUCCUUGCUGGACCUGGUACAAUGUCCCUUCCCUCCACCCUGUAUUGCUGCCCUGAAGCCUUCAUUUUUCUUCUGACUUUAAUUAAUUAAUUCUGCCACCUUGAAAAAGCUAAACAUCCUGGCCUUUUGUCAUUUUUUUUUCUUCCUUUACAGACAAGCCUGCGGUCUCUACAGAAAUCUUUGAAAAUCAUGGCAUCCUCGUUACAGAUGUAAACUACUUCACUGAAAAUAUACAAAAGAUAGCAGCUCCAUUUAGGAGUAGCUAUUGGUAAGAACUUUUUGUAAAACUCCCCUUGAAAAGUGGAGUUAUUGGCAGCAGACACUGCCACUGAUGGAAAGAAUGCUGUUCAAAAACUGCUCUUUAAAUUGUAAAGUUGUGGGGUUGGGGAUUUAGCUCAGUGGUAGAGCGCUUGCCUAGGAAGCGCAAGGCCCUGGGUUCGGUCCCCAGCUCCGGAAAAAAAAGAACCAAAAAAAAAAAAAAAAAUUGUAAAGUUGUCCCAGUUUAAUUUUUUGGUCAUUUUCUUACCAACUUUGUGUUUCUACAGGUGAUUUUGGAGUUGAGACUAGAUAUGGAGUACAACAACAAGAAAGUCAUGUUUUCCUGUGUCUGAAAAACUCCAAAUACAUACAGACAGCUCUCAGUGAAUAAUCAAUGUUUCGUUUCUCCUACUUCGCUGUAAUGUCUCAUUUCAUCAUGGAGGGUAGUCGCCAUUAACUUUGGGUUAUAAUGUUGAAUAUUGUAAGUUACUUUUAACCUAAACUUAAUGCGCUCAAAACUACUGAGCUAAAUAUCAAAACUCAAGAACCUCACGUUUAUGUGGCUACAGCUAAAUCUAUUUUGACAAAUGGCUGUUUUUGCGUGUGGUCAGAGGCUUAUGAACCGCAUGUUUCAGAGGUUUUGCCACACUGUAGAACGUAUAGUCUGUAAUGGUUGUUUGCUGUUACAUAAGAAACACUACAUAGUAAAGACUUUUUUUUUCAUAAAUGACAAAUUUCUACACUUUUACACUUGGUUUUUUAAUGCAGCACUACAAAAAAAAAAUCAAUUGAGGAAGAAAUCCUUUAUUUAUGGUAUUAGAAAUUUCUUAAAUCUUUAAAAUACAAACAAGAAAAAAACCAUUUGUAUACUAUCUAUUUGGAACAAAGGCUUUUAUACCUAGUUUGGGUUUUUUUGUUGUUGUUUUGUCUUUUUUUAAAUAAAGACAUUAAAAAAAGC